CUUUCUUGUCUAGACAUAUCGACAGUCUCACAUUUCAUGAUGAACAGAAUGAGAGAAAAAAUCAUGUGUAUAAGUUGCGAAUGAUGGUAUUGAAGUAAUCGCACAGUGUCAGCGACAUUAGUCCACCAGUCAGAGCAAUAGAGCUUGCGUUCUGGCCAGUGGAUGGCAUUUACAAUUGAUCAACAUUAGCAACAGUGGGACAUCAUGUAUAUAUGCAUGAAAUAUUUAGUGAUGCACCAGAAAAUGUUGUCCUUGAAGAAACCAGCUGGCUGCAUUACAGAUGAAGCUACUGGUUGUGGAACUCCAGCCGGGGAGCUUCAUCUUUGUCGAGCAGUGGGCACUGGAUACUGCCAGAUUUCUGCGAAGACACCGACUGCUUUGGCCCGGGGGCUCCUCACAACGAUGUUCAACAGACAUGCCAUUUUGACCUGCCUAAUGAAGAUUAAGAAGGUGAAAGGGAUCCACAAGCCACUGGCCAACCAUCCACCUCUUCUCGCUGCUGGCAUUGAUGCCAUUUUAUCAUUCACGAAAAGCACGGCCAUAGCGAAAGGCUGGGAGUGUUCAUAGAAACUCCUUGUGCCAUCGAUGGGCACGAAGCUCGCCGAGCU